rnacentral:rRNA from 1 species
GGGAGUAAUGCUUGGGAAUCUAGCUUAUGGAGGGGGAUAACUACGGGAAACGGUAGCUAAUACCGCGUAGAAUCGAGAGAUGAAAGUGUGGGACCUUCGGGCCACAUGCCAUAGGAUGAGCCCAAGUGGGAUUAGGUAGUUGGUGAGGUAAAGGCUCACCAAGCCGACGAUCUCUAGCUGGUCUGAGAGGAUGACCAGCCACACUGGGACUGAGACACGGCCCAG